GGCUCGCGCUUGGCCUGUCGCCGAGUCGGCGUUGCGGGCGGCGGGGUUCUGCUCCGGAAAAACACUGCUGAAGAAUGCUGAUGUGGCAGUGAAACAGCCCAAAAGGAAGAGGAAGCUGAGUAUGGAUUCCAAAGAGCACUGAAUCUGGAAGGCUGCCUGGCCCUGCAGUGGCUGCACAGGACCCCUGGUCUUGGGAGCAGUUCUUGAAAGAGGAGGCGGCUGCAGCAGCACCCAUGGAGCUGUUUUCCAAGGUGUGUGGUUACUGUCUGAUGAUUGUUUAAGCUGCUAUGAUUUUUGGACCAAUGCCAGUUCCUCUGACAUCCAUCCAGUAAGGUGGAGUGAAAGGAGCAAACAUGAACUGCACAUCCCUGAAGCACGGGCCAGUGCCUGAAGACUUUCGGAUUGCAGUGAAGCUGGAACCCGUCGACAAGAAGAACCCCUCCUUGGUGUGUGUGGCAACCGUGGCAGAUCUUGUUUGGAGACCGCUUGCUAGUGGAUUUCCACAAUUGGGAUGAUAGUUUCCAUGACUGGGCAACUGGAGUAGUCUUAAAUGUUGAUAGAAAGGCUUCAGCAGUCAAGGAGGGAUUAGACCAUCUGAGCCUGAAGCUCCCAAGGAACCGGAGGAGCAAAGGAUGUGCAAGUCCCCCCAGGUCACGCUACUUGUCCCACUCCAGGGUGCCGAGGCAUAGGCCACACACAUGGUCCGUGGUAUUCUGGACAUUACAGGUGGCUGAGUUUGUACAGUCUCUGCUGGGCUACGAAGAACAUGCCAAGUGCUUCAAGAAAGAGAACAUCAGACCAGAUAUUCUUGACCCAGAACUUGUUGGAUUUUCAGAACUCAGUCUCUCAGAAGGGAGAGUCAGGAUGGAGCAGCUCUGCAUGAAUUAUUAAUGGGCAUUAAUAACAAUACCAAGGAGUCACCCUGAAUGGAGUUUCUGCAGUUUACAUACUUUUAUCCCACAUACAUUGAAUGAUAGAAGGAAUGUCAAUCUUGUGUCAGAAAAAAGAUCCAGAACAAUGUUCUGUUUCUGACACAAAGAGUUUUUCAUCAGCAUUCCUCAUCUUAAAAGUGGGGAGCAUCUUAUGGAAAUAGUGGAUUACGGAGCAAAACUGUCUGCGUGAGGAUCUACUAGUGGCCUGACCCAACUUCCCUGAGCUACAGUUUUCUCAUCUGUUCAAGUGAAAGCAACAUAUAAAUCCUUAGGAAGGAAGCCAUGAUCUUGUACAAUCAAGCAUACCAAAUGCCAAGCAGCAUAUCUGACAUAUGGUUCAGUCAAGCAGCAACAUCCCUUAACGUUCAGUGUUGAUAGAUAAUGAUGGUUCCUUUCGAUGUCAAAAAACAUGCAGGCCUCAUUCUCCACACAAGCAGUGGUCCCUUUUAGAGCCCGUGAAGUCUUUGAGAUGACAGAAGUAGGAUCCUGAGUGAUCACGGCUCUGAUUGUGUUGCCAUGAAGCUUUCUCAACUCCUUCUGAAUAAAGAUAGACUCUGGUGUGGCUUUGAGAAGCUUAGGAAAACAAGUUCUCCCAUCGCUGAGAGGCAAGGAACUGCCAUUAAUCAAUGCCUGGCUCUGCACAAGGUGAUGUUUCUGCUGACAGAAAGAGGAGGAAUAAUAGAGCACCUAUUAUUCAUGCAGUAUCGCUCCUGUGGCUCCGAGGACCACCUCAUCAUCCAUCUGGCACCCUUCCGAAUACUGCAUUUUUUUGCUGAAAAUUCAAAUAGCUCUUUAGACCCACUGGCCAGGAUGUGUCUGCCAACAUUUAAAAUAAGUUCCCUACCCACCUGACCCCACCUCUGCUCACCCUUGACUAGCUGAGUGACUUGGGGCUUGAUAUCUGAAGGAGGAGGGGCAGGGAUGCUAUCUCCAGGAGGACUCUAGGAAGUCUGUCAGGAGCCACGUACAGAUGUUUUCGCAUUAAUAUCAGUUAAUUGAUCAGUUAAGUUUGUUGGAUGACACCAAGGAAGUCAUAAGGGGCCAUACCCAAGUGGAUGAGAGAGAGGAUUUUAAGUUAUUACCUUUCCUAUUUUAGAAUCAUGGGGUAAAGCCAGGAAGGCUAUAGAUGUUAGAGGGGAUCCCUGUAUUCUCCUACUUUAAAGUUUUUACCCAAGACAAGCAAGGAACUUAAUGUAUUUUGUGCUUUGGGAACCAGAGAAUCAUGUUCCUUCUCAAGAAUCUUCCUGGAGCCUAACUUCAGUGCAAUAGAUUGAAGGAAAGACAUGCACACCCAAGUAGGUGUGCCAUGUUGGUAGACUGAUUGGAGGCACUUUUGAAAGAGACAGAAAAGGGAGGAGGAGGGGGAAAAUUUAGGCAAAGUGUCCUAAGGCAAGUACUCAGCUUUGCAUCUCCUUUAAAAUCACAGUUAUAGGAGGACCACUGGCUUGACUAAUGCCAAAUCAUAGAAGGAAUCAACAGGAAAAAACACCUAUGAUUAAAAGAAAACAAACCUUGUAUAGGAUUCCAUAGAAUCAAGAGGACUAUAAAAUACUUAAAUAAAAUGUAUAUAGAGA
rnacentral:lncRNA from 1 species